CACUGUCCUUUCUUGGAUUUUCUGCCUUUGUGCCAGAUGUUUUUCUAUUUGCACCAUCACCUGUAAGAUGGAUGAGGUAUAAACAUGGAACAGUCAAGCUUUCCCCAGCUUAAUGCUAAAGUGAAAGAUUUUCUGGGGUGGGUUCAGAAACUAUUAGCUGAAAUGGUGUUGUGAGUUGUCUGUGUACUUCUUUAUCUGUGUUAAUUCCCAUAGGACUGUCUGCUUCUAGCUGAGAUUUUCAGACCUGGGCAUUCAUAAGAAUCAUCUGGGAACUUUCUGAUGCAGGACUGAAGCCACCCCUAGGAGUCUGCAUUUUAAUAGCAAGUGAUUCAGAUGUAUAGACCACAUGUGGGAAAAGUGAUCUGAAUUCUACCUUUUGUCUCUUCCCCUCCUGGUCCUUCCUCUUCCUCCCCUCCUUCCCCAAACCCAGGACUUGAAAUAGAAGAAACCCUGCAAAUCCAAUGCUCCAAAGAUAAAAAGGAAUAGAACUCAGAGAACACCCUGUCCUGCCUGCCCCUGGAGAGACAGGCAGCAAAGCUGCGGUUUACCAAGUCCUGCUGGAGGGAGUAGAGAGUCGGCUUCCUCCUGGGCUCAGAGACUCCUGCAGAAUUAUUUCCAGAACCUUCCUCAGCCCAGCUGCCUGCACGCUACCAGUCCUCACAGUGGAAUUUGCUGUUCCUAUGACAACACUCCUGUCGGCUCCCUCCCCCAGCUCACCUACAUCCCUGUGACCUCAUGGAAAGGCACAUUCUCGGGCAUCCAGACCAGAUAAGGAGGGUUUUGCAGUCUCUCUGGAAGCAUGGUGGUUAAGAGCACAUGUUUUGGAGUCAACAUGCCUGAAUACUGCUGUUUGGUCAAGCCAUUUAAUCUCUCAUUGUCUCAGUUUCCUCAUCUGAAAACGGGUCGAUUGAUUCCAGAAGUUGAAAACUAACCCACCACGCUUACAUAAUUGUGACUCUGUGGGUAUGGUUAUCUCAGUGUGGCAACGCUACAUUACGCACCCCGUGGGUCCACUGUCACAAUGGAGAGGACCUUCGAAAAGGCGCGGAGGACAGCUGGUUGGGAAGGUGUUUGGUGCAUAGGAGGGCGCGGAACAUGAUGGGUUCCCACACUUGAGCAAAUGUGUCAUUUUUGCGGAUUCCUCACAGUUAAAACAACAAUCAAAUAAGGGCAGAGAUCAUGGAGCCCACCAUCCUAAAGGAACUAAACUGUUGCCAAAAUGGGAAGGUCCCCUGUGAUCCACCCAAAUAAAAUCUUCCCACCAGCCAGCCUACACGACCUCUAUAAUUAGCAAUUCGCUCCUUUGCAUUAAGCAAAGCCCUCAACGUGGUGUCGUCUAAUAUGCAAAUAUUUCUGGGAGGGCUGCCACACUAAGUGGCUGACAGCUAGGUGCCAUCCAGUCUUAUCAGAUAGCCGCUUUCCUGUGUGUCCGGAAGGGCGAGCCUGAGUUGGCUCUGAUAAGCAGGGCCCCAAGCAGAUGCUGUGGCCUGAGCCCGCCCUCCCUAGAAACCGGAGUGGGUGACGGCUGAGCUCCCCUCACGUUAUAGCUCCCACUCUCACCGGUGACCCAAGCAGCUCUCCCAGGCCUGGGAGGCUGGUGUCAGGUAGCAGUGGAGGAACCUGAGGUACCACCGUGGCUCCAGCUGUUCCACCUCCCAACCCAGGCCUGGGCCUCCACCUGCCCCGAGCCAGUGAGGGAAAGGAGGGGACAGAUAGAAAGAUAACCAGGGAAGAAGGCUGAGGCUCCCGGGUGGCUCCAGGGAAAACCUGAAGGGGCGUUGGAAAAGAAGUCAAGGGGGGGCCCUACCCGUCUCAAAACUCUGGGCUUGGCCUAAACUGAGGAACGCUCUUUCCACUCUCCGUUUUUCCGUCCUAGCUGGUGCAAGAAUGAUUUGCUUUGUGUCUGACUCCACCAUAUGCUGCAAGCUCCCUGAGGGCAGGGCCUGCCCCGUCUUGUCUCCACAUGUCUUAUCCCCAGCACAGUACGCAGCGGGUUGUGUGUGUGUCCAGCCAACGUGUGCUGACGGAAUGGAGCAUGAGCCCUAUGCUCUUUGGUUUGCAAAUGCCCUUCUCCCCAGCAGAUCUAGAACUUAUUUUUCACUGUCCUUGUGCAUCCGGGCAGUGUUAGCUCGUUACAUGUGGGUUGAAUCCAUUUGAAACGUUAAGAAUUAAAAGGUAAGGAUUGCCUCUUUGGCCAGUGCAAGGGUCUUCUGGGUUGCUUUAUGGCGUGCAUGUAGCAUAGUUUAUCAGACUUCUUGCAGCCCAAGGUUGCCUAUUAAGAGAAGGAGUGACCCACCUGCCAGGAAAAGUGGCUUUUUGGUGUCCAUUUGACAGUAUUUACAAUAUUCUUUAAAAAAAAAAAAUUUAGGGGCGCCUGGGUGGCUUGGUCGGUUGAGCGUCCGACUCCAGCUCAGGUCAUGAUCUCGCGGUCCGUGAGUUUGAGCCCCGCGUCGGGCUCUGGGCUGACAGCUCGGAGCCUGGAGCCUGUUUCAGAUUCUGUGCCUCCCUCUCUCUCUGCCCCUCCCCUGUUCAUGCUCUGUCUCUCUCUGUCUCAAAAAUAAAAAUUAAAAAAAAAAUUA